rnacentral:lncRNA from 1 species
UUUGCAACAUGGAUGAACCUCGAUGUCAUUAUGCUAAGUGAAACAAGCCAGACACAGCAAGAAAAAUACUGCAUGAUCUCUUAUGUGGAUUCUAAAAAAGUCAAAUACAUAGAAGCAGAGUAGAACAGUGGUUACCAGGGGUGGAGACGUAUGGAAAUGGUUAAGAUGUUGGUCAAAGGAUACAAAGUUGCAGUUCUAUAGGAUGAAUAAGUCUAGAGAUGUAAUGCAUAGCAUAACUAUAGUUAAUACUGCAUUGUGCAUUGGAAACUUGCGGAGAGUACAUUUCAUGCGCUCUCACCACUUACACAAAAUAGUAACUGUGAAGAGAUGUAUUAUGUUAAUUAGCUUGACUGUAGAAAUCAUUUCACUGUGUACAUGUAUCAAAACAUCAUGUUGUACACCUUAAAUAUAUAGUUUUUAUUUUUAAAACACUGUUUGGGAUUAAAAGCCCAGCUAAUUCUGCCUUAAUAUCUCAUUCUUAUCCACAAUGUCCACCCAUAAGAAAGACGCCCGAUACUCCGUGUAAACACACACUCCCCAUCUCCCAUACAAAUUUACCUUCUAGAGAGAGCCCUUUUCCCCAAACUCUCCUCUCAAAACACUCUGAAGCACAAGGUCUUUAGCCUAGUUAGACAUUUUCUGAAAAACUUAGUUUAACUCAGCGUAGAGACACCAUGAAUUUCAGAGACCCAGUCCUGGGCCUGCUUCAGUUGCUUUAGCCUAGAGUUUCAACUCCCAGGUCCCGGGGAGGGAUGCUCCAAGGAAGAAAUAGAGGCCCUAUUCCAGGGCUGUUUCUCGCAGACUAGCCACAGAAAAUGCAGCCCAGCGCCACUUCCUUUCAGUAGCAACACGUUUCCAACACGUUUGUUAAGCGGGAACGGAAGUGAGCGGAAAGGAAUGCGUUUGGUAAAUCCCACUUUAAGGAUUUCGUAAUCCUCCCAGGGAUUCCCACCACCCGCACUCCACUCGCAGACUGCGGGCCUUCCUCCGACGCUGGGAGAAGGACCCUGGGAGAGGCAAGGGAAGGGCUCCGGAACCAGCGCAGCAGCGGGACGCUAGCCCGCCCACACGGCGGCCACUUGAAGGUCCUCCAGGGAACACCUGAGGCAGUGGGAGCGUCUGCCCUUUCCUAAGUCUCCUUGGAAAGAAGUAUUCGCUUUCGUUUCCGCAAACAAAGCAUGCUCCGCGCUUUCAGGACCGGUGGCUCCCGUGGAGACCGCAGCGGAACCCAGUCCGCCUUCGCACGCGUCCGGGGGAGAAGCGGCCCCAGGACUAAGGGCGCGCGCCCGAGGAACCGGUGCUGUGACGACCAGAGCAAACACGCCGGAUGUUCCUGUGUAGGCUGUCCUUUUUAGAACCAAGCAACGCCAAUUACCAACAAAAUCCGUUGCGCCGCAGUGAGUUAGCUACCUUCUAUCUCCACUUUGUUCUGCACGUCGAUCUCAGGAGAAGCCAGCUCCCAUGUUAAGAAGUUCAAAUACCUAGAGACUGCGAUGGUUUGCAGAGGCUCAAGCUAACCACAUGGAAAGACAUGGAGAGAUAUUCCUUGCCAACCCUCAACUACUCCAACUAUUCUAAGACAUCAAACCUAAAAACAAACCGCAGGUCACCCACCGGUCUGAAGAGGAGGAUGAGAGACAAAGAAAAAAGUUGUCUGGCUGCCUCUGCUGUCUACAGAUUGAAGAAGAUCCAUCCAGCUGAGCCCAGCCUAGACCAGCUGACUUCUCCAAUAAGCCUGUAUGAAAUAAAUGCUUAUUGUUAUGUGACCUUGAGCUUUGAAGAUAGUUUGUUAUGCAAUAAUUGUUGAUUCUUUCACCCUGUCUUUGUUGAACUGUUAUAGACGUCUUAAUAGGAGUUCACAAUUCAG